CUAUGACAGGAAAGUAGCAUCGUCCACAGCAAAUUCAAUGUGUGCUGUGGGAGGAAAAGUUGGCAAGUACACAACGGAAAUCUACAAAGUCAAUUUUCAAAGCAGGGGUCUUAACCUCAAGCUGCCAUUGAUUAAGUGAGAACUACUGAGGUAAAGCACUAUGGAAUACUUCAAACGUAACCGAUGAAUAGAGCUGUCCAGUUAAAGAAACAAAAAGGAUAAGCAAGAAUGGUGCUAGCAAGAUUAUGGAAAGCUGAGAACAUACCCACGAAAAAACUCUGGAUUGACAAAAUCAUAGAAAUAAAGGAAAUGGACAAAUUAACUUUUUUCAUUAAGAGAACCAACGGUAGAGCAAUGAAGGAAACAGACUGGACUAUGCUUGAGGACUAUUUAAAGAAAAAUCAUAAAUGUUGAAAUGAUAAGAAGAUUACAAAUAAAAAGAAGACUGAAAUGGAAGUCACCCCCCUUGACAUCCCUCCCUUCCUUUCCUAUCUGCCUCCCCCUCCAUCCCCCCCACCCCACUCUCCCCCCAUGUCAUUCCCCCAAAUACUAUGGUGGAGGAAGACUGGGAUACCUCACACGAUCACUCCACACCCCAACAAACCACCUCCCUUCCCCCUCCCUUUGUAUCUUCCCUUGACCCUGUAAUGAAGUAUGAAUUUUUGGUUUACAGAUGUUAUGUUUAAUUGUGUGUUUGUGUUUUAAAAGGGAAAGUAUUACAGUUAUUGCAUCUCAGCACUCAGAAGCUGGUUGCCAUGGAGAAGUAGGUGGAGCCAACUGCCGUUUUGUUGAAGAAAUGCAGAGUUUAAAAAAGGGAUUCAGUUUGUGCUCUGAUGAGGCACAGGGAAGAUUGAUCCUAGGUUGAGGGGAUCAGGGAGACUCAAUUGUUCAUUUUUGAGUCGGUUUAAAAUAAAUUUGGUGACUUAUUUAUUAUGUAGUCUGUGUCCUGGUAAGGAACAGAGAAUCUGUGAUCGUAUAUCACAGGGUGACUGCGGUUUAAAAGUAGCAGAGAAAGAAGUUCUAACUACUUUAAGUAAAAGAAAUGACACUUUAGGGAGUUUGACUCACCUCAUUCUAGUAUUGUAACUGUUAAUAAAAGUGCCUCUAAGUGAAAAACAAUAUUGUAACCACUAAGCUCUGUGCCUGAAUAAACUUGUUAUUGUUCCUCCAACA